rnacentral:rRNA from 1 species
CAGGUGUUGCAUGGCUGUCGUCAGCUCGUGUCGUGAGAUGUUCGGUUAAGUCCGCUAACGAGCGCAACCCUCGUCGUAUGUUAUAUGUGUCAUACGAGACUGCCGGUAAAAAGACCGGAGGAAGGUGAGGAUGAUGUCAAGUCAGCAUGACCUUUAUAUCCAGGGCUACACACACGCUACAAUGGUCUGUACAAUGGGUAGCCAAGCCGCGAGGCGGAGCCAAUCCUGAAAGCAGGCCUCAGUUCAGAUUGCAGUCUGCAACUCGACUGCAUGAAGCCGGAGUUGCUAGUAACCGCAGGUCAGCAAUACUGCGGUGAAUACGUUCCCGGGUCUU